AAUGGGCGAAAGCCUGACGCAGCAACGCCGCGUGCGGGAUGAAGGCCUUCGGGUUGUAAACCGCUUUCAGCAGGGACGAAAAUGACUGUACCUGCAGAAGAAGCCCCGGCUAACUACGUGCCAGCAGCCGCGGUAAUACGUAGGGGGCAAGCGUUAUCCGGAUUUAUUGGGCGUAAAGCGCGUGUAGGCGGCUUGUUAAGUCAGAUGUGAAAACCGGGGGCUCAACCCGCGGCCUGCAUCUGAAACUGGCAGGCUUGAGUCUGGUAGAGGAAAGUGGAAUUCCUAGUGUAGCGGUGAAAUGCGCAGAUAUUAGGAGGAACACCAGUGGCGAAGGCGGCUUUCUGGGCCACGACUGACGCUGAGACGCGAAAGCUAGGGGAGCGAA
rnacentral:rRNA from 1 species